GUGGAGGUUGUUACCACUCAUGACAACAGUCUUAAUAAUAAAGAUGAAGACACAGAAUCCAGUGAAAAGAUGGAACCCACAAAAGAUGAUAAAAAUUGUUCACUCCCAACAAUUUUGGAAAAAGGACCAUCAGAUGAUGAAUCCUGUAUGAUGUCAC